CCCUUUCUGAUUCGCUGAGCUGUGCUUGUAGGCUCUUAGCUGUGUGUGCAAGUCACCCCGCGUGUAUAAUAACGACAAGAGUGGCGAUGUAGGCGUGUUUCCCGCUUUGUUGCACCUGAUCCUCACACCAACCCUGUGAGCGUAUGUAAGGAGCGUGUAAAUCAUCACCGGAUUCUAACAGCAAGUAAGAAGCUAAACAAACUGAAAAUUCAACAACCCUCCCCAGAUUCAGCAGGAAAGCGGAGGUCACAGGGCAAAGUGCUGCCCUGGACAUCGGAGAAACACGCACAGACACAGAGUCACAACUCACCGGAGCACAGAGACCUCCAUGGGAGCCAGCAGCAGCGGAGGGAAACCUGAACUCUAGUGGACAGGUUGCUGGGGCUCAGCGCGGGCGAGUCUGAGUUCCAGGGGAUCCGAGUGCUUUUGCUGAGUUUUGGCUCCAGCAGCUCUCACCUGGAUUCUCACAGGGAAAAUGCCCUCAGGCUGCCAGCAGGGGGAGGCGGAAGUGGCCGUGUGAAAUAGGCCAGACGGAGCGUGCUGCUCUUCACCAGGCCUGCGUUCAGGAGAAGCUGUCUUCCCAGAGCCUCUGCUGGGGUUCUAGCAGAGCUUCGUCCAUCUGGGGAAGGGGAACAGCCAACUCCAGCCCACUCUAGCCAUCUCGUCCCACCUACGGGAGAGACAACCGAGAAGCACUCGUGGAGGUCACAGCCCAGGGACACAGACUCGCUAGAAGACGGAGACCUGAUCAUAGGCCUGUGGAGCACUCCCCCUGCCCCCACGCCUCACCACCACCCCAGUAACGGCCUGCUUACCAGGGUUCCUUUCCCCCCAUAUACCAUGUCUGGCUUUCACCAACAAUAACAAAAGCUUACAAGGCAUACCAAAGGCAAAAAUUACGGUCUGAAGAGACAGAACCAGAUUCAUGUAUGGCAGGAAAUGUUGGAAUUCUCAGGCCAGGAAUUUAAAACAACUGUGAUUAAUAUGCUAAGGGUGCUAAUGAAUAAAGUAAGACAACAUGUAAGAACAGAUGGGUAACAUAAGCAAAGAUAUGGAAAGUCUAAGAAGGAAUGUUUUAAAUGCUACAGGUCAAAUGCACAGUAACAGGCAUGCUCUUGAUGGCUUGAUUAGUAGACUGGACAUGGCUGAGGAAAAAUCUCUGAGAUUGAGACUAUGUCAAUAGAAACUUACAACAUUAAAAAUCAAAGAGA